UUCGACUCCUCACGUGGCGUCAUCUUCGGUUAAUUCCCCAGGGCAGGAAUGCAGCAAGGAGACCGGGCUCUGGCGGGUGCGUGGGGAGUCCUUUUA
rfam:Arcanobacterium haemolyticum DSM 20595, complete genome.